AGUCGAACGGACUUAACUCAUUCUUUUAGAUUGAGAGCGGUUAGUGGCGGACUGGUGAGUAACACGUAAGCAACCUGCCUAUCAGAGGGGAAUAACAGUGAGAAAUCAUUGCUAAUACCGCAUAAGCUAGUAGUAUCGCAUGAUAUAGCUAGAAAAGGAGCAAUCCGCUGAUAGAUGGGCUUGCGUCUGAUUAGCUAGUUGGUGGGGUAACGGCCUACCAAGGCGACGAUCAGUAGCCGGACUGAGAGGUUGAACGGCCACAUUGGGACUGAGAUACGGCCCAGACUCCUACGGGAGGCAGCAGUCGGGAAUAUUGCGCAAUGGAGGAAACUCUGACGCAGUGACGCCGCGUAUAGGAAGAAGGUUUUCGGAUUGUAAACUAUUGUCGUGAGGGAAGAAAUCGACAGUACCUCAGGAGGAAGCUCCGGCUAACUAUGUGCCAGCAGCCGCGGUAAUACAUAGGGAGCAAGCGUUAUCCGGAUUUAUUGGGUGUAAAGGGUGCGUAGACGGGAAAUUAAGUUAGUUGUGAAAUCCCUCGGCUUAACUGAGGAACUGCAACUAAAACUGAUUUUCUUGAGUACUGGAGAGGAAAGUGGAAUUCCUAGUGUAGCGGUGAAAUGCGUAGAUAUUAGGAGGAACACCAGUGGCGAAGGCGACUUUCUGGACAGUAACUGACGUUGAGGCACGAAAGUGUGGGGAGCAAACAGGAUUAGAUACCCUGGUAGUCCACACUGUAAACGAUGGAUACUAGGUGUAGGAUGUAUUAAGCAUUCUGUGCCGCCGCUAACGCAUUAAGUAUCCCACCUGGGGAGUACG
rnacentral:rRNA from 1 species